AGCUAAGAAAGAACACCAUGGAAAUCGGAAACCAUGAAACCGGUGAUGCUCAUCCUUUGCUGAGAGGGGGUAGGAGAAAAACUACAUACACCCAUGGUUUCUCUUCAGCUCAAAUCCGAUCACUUGCUGCCACCUGUGAAGCUUUAAUCCCUCCUCUCCCACUUGAUUCAGCCCACCAGGCUUCUUCCCUUGAUGCUUUCUACAAAGCUUCUGGGGCUGAGCCUCCACUUCCUGAUGAGGUAAUCAAAAUCCCAAUCUUCAUUCCUUCAACUCUUGUUGUAAUUAGCUAAUUGAACAGUUUUGUACGUGCAUAUACUUGGUAAUGGGGAAUUGUUUUAAAAUAAACAGGUAGCAGAGAUGAUGGUGAAGAGGGUGGUUGAACCCAGGGUACUCUCGUUUGUGAAAGUAGUAUUGGCAGUUAUAUCGUUUAGAUUGGGCGCAUUGUUGCUUUGCGGGUGGGAUUGCUGUGACUGGAAAUGGCCAUUCAUUCACAAGUUUUCGGAACUGCCAGUGGAGAGAAGAGAAAAAAUACUAAUGAAAUGGUCAAGCAAUGGCCAUCAUCGCUUACCUCUAAGAGCUGUUUUUGCAUUGAUCAAAACUUACUGCUUGUUCAUCUUUUU
rnacentral:lncRNA from 1 species